rnacentral:tRNA from 1 species
GGUGCGAUACCCAAGCCUGGCCCAAGGGGCUAGCCUGGAAAGCUAGUGUGCUCCUGCACUCGGGGGUUCAAAUCCCCCUCGCACCACCA